GGGAACUGCUAGUCUGGAAAGCGGGGCUGCUUCUGCUGGAUGAGCCCGAGCCCUGCCAAGCCCCUCAAGGCAUUGAAGCUUUAGCUCACCUUAUCCGAAUGGUCAUUGGGCAUCCGGACUUGAGUUAACGACUGAAUUUUUCUGGGAAGCAAGGGACACGUUCUAAAAUAACCCCAGGAUCACUCUCCGAACUUGGCCUGAGUCUAGGCAAGCAGUGUUACUCGGUCGCCUUGAUCUUGGAGCUGCUGUGUACUGGGGACCUCAUACUAGUUGGGUUAACUAUAUUCCCAUUAGCAGUACACGGGAUCGCAGUACUCGGGACAAGCUGAGUUCAGCUGCUAUGAGUAACACGAUCUGGAAAGACAGCGCUAGCAAGGAAUGAGGAGUGAUACAGUGACUGGAGGCUAAGAGAUAAUGUCUGCAAGUCACCUAAAACCAUUGCAGACACAGGGAGAUUGAUGGAUUUGGAGGACUUCUGGUUGUGAAGACUCUGACGAUUGCUAAAGAGUUAAGUGAAAUACUAGCGUGGUUUUUUUGUGUGUGCUUUUUGUUUGUUUGUUUGUUUGUUUAUAAAAACAGGCAGAAUGUAGCCCUAUUAAUUGUUAACUGGCAAGAUAAACCAGGAUGCCAGUAACCACUAGACGACAGAUUGUCAAGAAAUCCAGUAAUAACCAUCCACAAGAGUUUAAAGUACAGUGAGGCAAAAUCCUGAUGGCUUUAAAAGAAUAAAGCCUGCUGUACCAAUUAAUAAACUUUUAUGAUAGUGUUAGACCAUUAGUGAUAAUGAGGAAACGUUGGAUUUAAUAUAUUUGAACUGUGGUAAGAUGUGAUUCUUUCUUUUUGUCAACACGUUAAAAC
rnacentral:antisense_RNA from 1 species